UACGGAGGGUGCAAGCGUUAGUCGGAAUAACUGGGCGUAAAGGGUGCGUAGGCUGGCAUAUAAGUUACGUGUGAAAUUACAGGGCUCAACCCUGUAGCAGCACGUAAGACUGUAAGUCUAGAGGAAUGGUGGGGAAAACGGAAUUCCACGUGUAGCGGUGAAAUGCGUAGAUAUGUGGAAGAACACCUGUGGCGAAAGCGGUUUUCUAACCUACUCCAGACGCUGAGGCACGAAAGCAAGGGGAU
rnacentral:rRNA from 1 species